UGUGUAUGUAUACUGUCACGGGGCUCCUUUAUUAUCUAUUGAAGGCUCUCACCCUGACUAUGGUUAAUUUUCGACGGAUCACAGGGCGCUGUGAUCUAAG